rnacentral:rRNA from 1 species
AUAUUGCACUAUGGGCGCAAGCCUGAUGCAGCCAUGCCGCGUGUGUGAAGAAGGCCUUAGGGUUGUAAAGCACUUUCAGUAAGGAGGAAAGGUUAGUAGUUAAUACCUGCUAGCUGUGACGUUACUUACAGAAGAAGCACCGGCUAACUCCGUGCCAGCAGCCGCGGUAAUACGGAGGGUGCGAGCGUUAAUCGGAAUUACUGGGCGUAAAGCGUACGCAGGCGGUUUGUUAAGCGAGAUGUGAAAGCCCCGGGCUCAACCUGGGAACUGCAUUUCGAACUGGCAAACUAGAGUGUGAUAGAGGGUGGUAGAAUUUCAGGUGUAGCGGUGAAAUGCGUAGAGAUCUGAAGGAAUACCGAUGGCGAAGGCAGCCACCUGGGUCAACACUGACGCUCAUGUACGAAAGCGUGGGGAGCAAACAGGAUUAGAUACCCGGGUAGUCCACGCCGUAAACGAUGUCUACAAGGAGCUGGGGUCUUCGGACAACUUUCCAAAGCUAACGCAUUAGGUAGACCGCCUGGGGAGUACGGCC